UACGUAGGCAGCAAGCGUUGUUCGGAAUUACUGGGCGUAAAGGGCGCGUAGGCGGUUCGCUAAGUUGAAUGUGAAAACUCUGGGCUUAACCCAGAGCCUGCAUUCAAUACUGGCGGGCUAGAGUUCUGGAGGGGAUAGCGGAAUUCCUGGUGUAGCGGUGAAAUGCGUAGAUAUCAGGAGGAACACCGGUGGCGAAGGCGGCUAUCUGGACAGAGUCUGACGCUGAGGCGCGAAAGCUAGGGGAGCAAACAGG
rnacentral:rRNA from 1 species